AACGAACGCUGGCGGCAGGCCUAACACAUGCAAGUCGAGCGAGGACUUCGGUUCUAGCGGCGGACGGGUGAGUAACGCGUGGGAAUAUGCCCUUCUCUACGGAAUAGCCUCGGGAAACUGAGCGUAAUACCGUAUACGCCCUUUGGGGGAAAGAUUUAUCGGAGAAGGAUUAGCCCGCGUUGGGUUAGGUAGUUGGUGGGGUAAUGGCCUACCAAGCCUACGAUCCAUAGCUGGUUUGAGAGGAUGAUCAGCCACACUGGGACUGAGACACGGCCCAGACUCCUACGGGAGGCAGCAGUGGGGAAUCUUAGACAAUGGGGGCAACCCUGAUCUAGCCAUGCCGCGUGAGUGAUGAAGGCCUUAGGGUUGUAAAGCUCUUUCAGCUGGGAAGAUAAUGACGGUACCAGCAGAAGAAGCCCCGGCUAACUCCGUGCCAGCAGCCGCGGUAACAC
rnacentral:rRNA from 1 species